AGGAGAUAAAACAAUAUACAAAUAUGACAAACAACGUACACAAGUAAUAAAGUAAACAUGUAAUACAAGAAACGACCUAAUAUUUGCCUAUCGUAACAAUAUGCAUAAUAAUGAAUAUAGUAUUCAAACUUUAUUCGAAUGACUUCGACGAGAAGCGACUUUGGGGUACCUGUAAAGACACUUAGUAAAAGUGUUAGUAAUAAAUAAAUACAAGUAAAAAUAAAUAAAAUAACUAACAACUUAAAAUAAAAAUUCGUCUUAUAAACAUGGGAGGCCUUGGAAAUCGACGGCAAUUUCUUCAUCGGCCAAUUUUAACAUAAAACUUGAAUAAACUUAAACUAAAUUU
rnacentral:lncRNA from 1 species